rnacentral:rRNA from 1 species
UACGUAGGGGGCUAGCGUUGUCCGGAUUUAUUGGGCGUAAAGAGCUCGUAGGUGGUUCGGUAAGUCGGAUGUGAAAUCCCACGGCUCAACCGUGGAAGUGCAUGGGAAACUGCAGAGCUUGAGUACUUAAGAGGAUCGCGGAAUUCCCGGUGUAGAGGUGAAAUUCGUAGAUAUCGGGAGGAACACCAGUGGCGAAGGCGGCGAUCUGGGAAGAUACUGACGCUGAGGUGCGAAAGCGUGGGGAGCAAACAGG